rnacentral:rRNA from 1 species
AUUGAACGCUGGCGGCAGGCCUAACACAUGCAAGUCGAGCGGAUGAAGGGAGCUUGCUCCUUGAUUCAGCGGCGGACGGGUGAGUAAUGCCUAGGAAUCUGCCUAGUAGUGGGGGACAACGUUUCGAAAGGAACGCUAAUACCGCAUACGUCCUACGGGAGAAAGUGGGGGCUCUUCGGACCUCACGCUAUUAGAUGAGCCUAGGUCGGAUUAGCUAGUUGGUAGGGUAAAGGCCUACCAAGGCGACGAUCCGUAACUGGUCUGAGAGGAUGAGCAGUGACACUGGAACUGAGACACGGUCCAGACUCCUACGGGAGGAAGCAGUGGGGAAUAUUGGACAAUGGGCGCAAGCCUGAUCCAGCCAUGCCGCGUGUGUGAAGAAGGCCUUCGGGUCGUAAAGCACUUUAAGUUGGGAGGAAGGGCUUACGGUUAAUACCUGUGAGUUUUGACGUUACCAACAGAAUAAGCACCGGCUAACUUCGUGCCAGCCGCCGCGGUAA